rnacentral:rRNA from 1 species
AGAACGAACGCUGGCGGCAGGCUUAACACAUGCAAGUCGAGCGCCCCGCAAGGGGAGCGGCAGACGGGUGAGUAACGCGUGGGAACAUACCCUCCGGUUCGGAAUAGCUCAGGGAAACUUGGAUUAAUACCGGAUACGGCCUAGCGGCGAAAGAUUCAUCGCCGGAGGAUUGGCCCGCGUUCGAUUAGCUAGUUGGUGAGGUAACGGCUCACCAAGGCGACGAUCGAUAGCUGGUCUGAGAGGAUGAUCAGCCACAUUGGGACUGAGACACGGCCCAAACUCCUACGGGAGGCAGCAGUGGGGAAUAUUGGACAAUGGGCGCAAGCCUGAUCCAGCCAUGCCGCGUGAGUGAUGACGGCCUUCGGGUUGUAAACCUCUUUUAGUAGGGUAAGAAGCGAAAGUGACGGUACCUGCAGAAAAGCACCGGCUAACUACGUGCCAGCAGCCGC